GAUGAACGCUGGCGGCGUGCUUAACACAUGCAAGUCGAACGAAGCACUUUAUUUGAUUUCCUUCGGGACUGAUUAUUUUGUGACUGAGUGGCGGACGGGUGAGUAACGCGUGGGUAACCUGCCUUGUACAGGGGGAUAACAGUUGGAAACGGCUGCUAAUACCGCAUAAGCGCACGGCAUCGCAUGAUGCAGUGUGAAAAACUCCGGUGGUAUAAGAUGGACCCGCGUUGGAUUAGCUAGUUGGUGAGGUAACGGCCCACCAAGGCGACGAUCCAUAGCCGACCUGAGAGGGUGACCGGCCACAUUGGGACUGAGACACGGCCCAAACUCCUACGGGAGGCAGCAGUGGGGAAUAUUGCACAAUGGGCGAAAGCCUGAUGCAGCGACGCCGCGUGAGCGAAGAAGUAUUUCGGUAUGUAAAGCUCUAUCAGCAGGGAAGAUAAUGACGGUACCUGACUAAGAAGUACCGGCUAAAUACGUG
rnacentral:rRNA from 1 species